CCUACGGGAGGCAGCAGUGGGGAAUAUUGGGCAAUGGAGGAAACUCUGACCCAGCGACGCCGCGUGCGGGAUGAAGGCCUUCGGGUUGUAAACCGCUUUCAGUAGGGAAGAAGCGAAAGUGACGGUACCUACAAAAGAAGCACCGGCUAACUAUGUGCCAGCAGCCGCGGUAAUACAUAGGGUGCAAGCGUUGUCCGGAAUUAUUGGGCGUAAAGAGCUCGUAGGUCGUUUGUUACGUCGGAUGUGAAAACCUGAGGCUCAACCUCAGGCCUGCAUUCGAUACGGGCGAACUAGAGUUUGGUAGGGGAGACUGGAAUUCCUGGUGUAGCGGUGGAAUGCGCAGAUAUCAGGAGGAACACCAAUGGCGAAGGCAGGUCUCUGGGCCAAUACUGACACUGAGGAGCGAAAGUCUGGGGAGCGAACAGGAUUAGAUACCCUGGUAGUCCAGACCGUAAACGGUGGGCACUAGUUGUGGGAACCUUCCACGGUUUCUGCGACGCAGCUAACGCAUUAAGUGCCCCGCCUGGGGAGUACGAUCGCAAGAUUAAAACUCAAAGGAAUUGACGGA
rnacentral:rRNA from 1 species